GAUGAACGCUGGCGGCGUGCCUAAUACAUGCAAGUCGAGCGAACGGACGAGGAGCUUGCUUCUCUGAUGUUAGCGGCGGACGGGUGAGUAACACGUGGAUCACCUACCUAUAAGACUGGGAUCACUUCGGGAAACCGGAGCUAAUACCGGAUGAUAUUUUGAACCGCAUGGUUCAAAAGUGAAAGACGGUCUUGCUGUCACUUAUAGAUGGAUCCGCGCUGCAUUAGCUAGUUGGUAAGGUAAAGGCUUACCAAGGCAACGAUGCAUAGCCGACCUGAGAGGAUGAUCGGCCACACUGGAACUGAGACACGGUCCAGACUCCUACGGGAGGCAGCAGUAGGGAAUCUUCCGCAAUGGGCGAAAGCCUGACGGAGCAACGCCGCGUGAGUGAUGAAGGUCUUCGGAUCGUAAACCUCUGUUAUUAGGGAAGAACAUAUGUGUAAGUAACCGUGCACAUCUUGACGGUACCUAAUCAGAAAGCAACGGCUAACUACGUG
rnacentral:rRNA from 1 species